rnacentral:rRNA from 1 species
GACGAACGCUGGCGGCGUGCUUAACACAUGCAAGUCGAGCGGUAAGGCCCUUUCGGGGGUACACGAGCGGCGAACGGGUGAGUAACACGUGGGUGACCUGCCCUCAGCUCUGGGAUAAGCCUGGGAAACCGGGUCUAAUACUGGAUAUGACUCCAUGACGCAUGUUGUGGGGUGGAAAGCCUUGUCCGGCUGAGGAUGGGCCCGCGGCCUAUCAGCUUGUUGGUGGGGUGAUGGCCUACCAAGGCGACGACGGGUAGCCGGCCUGAGAGGGCGACCGGCCACACUGGGACUGAGACACGGCCCAGACUCCUACGGGAGGCAGCAGUGGGGAAUCUUGCGCAAUGGGCGAAAGCCUGACGCAGCGACGCCGCGUGAGGGAUGACGGCCU